rnacentral:lncRNA from 1 species
GAAACUCAGAAGCUUCCAACUAUAGAACUAGAAAAAUUCAAGAACACCAAAAUUAUCCCAUGGCCCUGAAUUUUGGCACUGCUUCUCUACACCUAGAAGCUCAUUCACUGAAAGUUGGAAAUAAAAAACAUCCCUUUAAGCUCUAUGAAACUUUUACUCCAUCUCCGUCUUCUUUGAAAGCAGCUGCUUUGUCUGAAGGAACUGAGAGUAGAGUCACAGAGGAAGAAUCCUCUACUUCUGGUAUAUUGGCAUUUCUUGAUAUUGUUUAAAUCUUUUUUCUUUUUUCUUUUGGGAAGGAAAUGUUGCAUAAAUUUGAAAGGAACCAUAUUCAUAAAAUCCUUUCAUAAAAUCAUAAAUUCCAUGUUGAAAUCAAAGAGACAACAAAAAAGUGCGGAAACAUACCUUGAUCCAUGAAUCUUACUGCUUUAAUUGGGUUUUGAUCUUUCAAUUGAUACGUGAUUCUUGAUCCAUGAAUCUUACUGCUUUAAUUGGAUUUUGAUCUUCCAAUUGAUACGUGAUUCUCUUUCCUUUUGGUUUUCUUCAAAGUCUCUAUUGAUGGGGAUGCAGAGAUAUUUUCCAAAGAAAAUCACGUUCAAAUUGGGGACCAUAACCACUUUUAAAAUAACUGCUAUUGGCAGUUAUUAACUUUAAGUUAUUUCAAAUCGGCCCCUCAUCAAUUCAAAAUAACACCUUCUGGUCUCUACACUUUAAUCCCAUAAAAUUUAAUACCCAUUAGUCCAAAAUUAAAUCCAAUGGAUCACUUUAUCGACUAUAUUUACUUUAAAAUAGCACCACACAUUCUAAUAAAUGUACAUGUGUGGCCCCAAAGUUGGAAUUUUUUCCAACAAUCUCCCACUGGGCCAAACAUGUUACAUUAUAAAUGUGCACAGACUUAUGAGCUCAAAACUGUGCUAUAGUUAUUAAAGGUAAUUCCAAACAAUCUCGUCCAUUAGUUACAUCGAUGUAGGAUCAAAGCGAUUUUCGUCACAUUUAGCGUGACUAAAUCCAUCAAUGGUCACGUACACCCAUACAACCAAAUGACAUAGAUCAAUUAUGGGAGUGUAGCAUGGAAAUUACAUGUUAUGUGAUCCGAACAUGUCUAUUUCCAACUGGUCCAACCUUAUUUCUUAAGUGAGAUCAGUACUGAACAUAAUAACAGAGUGGAAUGAACUGAAUACUUUAUUUCUGUACAGAAAAUAUCCAAAUACAUAAAUGUGUUCAAAGAACUAAACAUAUUUAUUGGCGAUGACUUUACAAUUGGGAAGUAAAAACAGAAUGCUUCCAAGGGGCGCAAACACACGAGUUACUGUAAAAGAAGUGUUUAAAUCUAAACUAGGAAAUUGAAAGUUACAUAUUCUCUGUUUGAGAGUGUUUGAUUCGGGAGUUCCUUUGCUCUAUGCAUUUUCUUCCUUUCAUACUCCCUGGGUGAUUUCUUCGUGAUCAACCGCUUAAGAAACUGUUUGAUCACUCUAUUACUGCCCACUUUCCUUGUAGUGGCCAACUUGUCAUGGAACUGUCUUCUCUAACUGUUGUCACUACUUUUGUCGUUCAACCGUCUUUAAUUGAAUUCCUUGAAUCGUGGAACGUGAUAGGACUGCCCAAUAACUGCUUCAUUAACUGUACUUUUGGGUAACCAUAACUUCUUAUGUUUGCUAAGAUGUUGGGCGACUUGAAUAUUUGGACGAGAGCGGAGUCACAGCUCUGGGCGACUGCAUGGCAAUUCAUUCGCUCAAAUCUUGGGCGACUUGCAAGCUUGGGUGAUGGUGUUACCGCGUUCAUGGGCCUCCCUAUUUGGGCCUUCAUUCUGAAUUGUUUGAUUGGGUUUCGUUCUUUGGGCUAUUUGAUUUGGGGAUCCUCCAAUUGGGCUUCAUUCCUUGGGCCGUUCGAUUUGGACUGAAUUUUUAUGUGUCAACAAUUACCUUCCAAUAUAGCAGAAUUAAUACCAAUUAGUAAGUUUUGCUGUAUUCACUUUGUGUUUCCAGCAACAUUCGAAAUUUUCAAGAAUUUCAAUCAUUGUUUUCUUCCAUAGUUUGAAAAGGUGCGACGUUUUGCAAACCCUUAUAACCCCCCAAAUACGCUAUUUCACUGCACCAUUAAAUCACCCCUCACUUUUUUCGCGCUUCUCUAUCACAAUUUUACUGUUCAUCUUUUUGUUUCCCUACUACGUAACUCUGAAAAACUCCAUUUCUUCCCUAAUGGCUACUUCACAAUCUCAAUCUGGCGACUCCUUUAGUUUUGAAGACUUUCAGAAACUCCAUAAUCGUCCAUACAUAACUUCGAACUUCUCGCACCUGCUAAUGUCGAACUCAAUGAGUUCUACCUAGGUCCUUUCUUCAACAAUGCAGAGGGAGUCGAACAAGCGGCGGUGGGCCAGCUAUUUUCUUGUACUCAAGGCCCUUCAUUUCUAAACUCUCUGCCGCUGGGGCCACUUUGUGAAAGAGGUAUUCGCAAUUGGCCUAAAUCUGAUGUAGUUUUCCGUAGGUGGCAUGCUCGCCUUAUAGACCAUGGUCCUACUAAGGUACUUUUUGAUAAUGCUAGGAUUUCUAAUUUGUUAGAAAUCUCUCUUCAACCCCCUACUUUUGAUUCAGCACAUUUUUCGAUCGCUUUAAGUUUUUGUACUUCUGAGUAUAAUACAUUUGUUUUCCCUCUUGGCCCCAUGUCUAUUACUUUAAGGGAUGUUGGGGCCCUAGUGAAUCUGCCACCUUUGGGCGAUAUUAUUUUUCCUGGUAUCUUGGUUUCUGGUGGUGCCCCAAAGUUUGGUAAAAACCUCACCAAGUCUUAUUCAAGCCUGCAAACCCUUCAUAACCACUCGAGCGCUGAGCCUUCCCAUACUGAGCGAGUGGCCAUUCUUCUGGUUUGGUUUUGUAAAUAUGUUUUGUGUGUGUCAAGCAUAAAGCCCUCCCUGAGCUAUUUACCCAUAGCGCACGAAUUGGGGCGUGGUAGGCCUUUGAAUUUAUGUUCUUUCUUUUUGACUGCCCUCUAUAGAGGCAUGACUUCUCUUCAAUCUCAAUUGAAGAAUGGUGCAUCUCCUACUGGCAGUGGACCUCUUUGGUUCACUUAAAUGUGGUUGAGAUCCUAUUUUCUAUCGCUUGGUGCUCCAUCAUUUUCUCGUCCUUCUGCUAGCUACUAUGGGCUAGCCAUUGAGCCCCUGGCUCCUGUAAAUAUGUCUAGAAGGGACUUUUUUCAUUCUUUUAUUCUUUGGAUUCAAUCCCUUUCUUCUUUCCUUUUCCUCCCUUUUUAACUCCAGACUAUGUGCAUCCUCCCUCCACUAUAGACAGCGCGAGCACCUCUCUGCUCAUUUGGAUCCAAUUUUUAAUUGGGAGGGAGUUAUUUCAUGAUAUUUUGACUAGGACCAAUGCCAAGGCUGGGGUAGAAAUAUAUGCUCCCCAAUUUUUUGCUCGCCAACUUGGUUUCUGCCAAAUCUGGCAUGUUCUUCCUUGCUAUUCAAGGAACUUGAUAGACCGCUUUCAUAUCAUUAAUAAAGCGGAGGCAGAGGCUAUAAAUGCUCGCAAUCUUCUUUUGACGAGCCAUUUUUCAUUAGCCCCCUUCAAUUCUAGCCGUGCCAUCCAUCCCCUUUUUGAACAACUCCGACCGUCAAUGAAGCGCAGAUUGUUUGCGACUGAUAUCAAUCGUGCUUUUCAUUCACUGGACCAGCUAAACAUUUCUUCCCCUCCUCCUGUUUUAGUCGCCCCUUUGUCCAUCCGGAGUCCUUCUCCUCCUCGUCGUGCUAAACAGUCUGCUCAUCCAUCUUCUUCUCUCCCUGCCAAGCCUACUGCAGCCAAAAGUGCCCCUAGCCGCAAAAGACAGCAUCUCCCAUUCUGGAGGAGGAUGAUGAUGAUGAUGAUGAUAAUACCCCUCUUAUCAUCAGGUGAAAGGUAAUUAAAUUGGUUUACUCACAAGCAUACUUUUCCAUACUUGGAACUUUUCUGUGUGCUGAUGAUUUAUUUGGACUUCUCAGAAAAGUUCAGCCUCUCCUUUGAAGGCCUUGGUGUCAGCAGCUCCUGCUCCAUCAUCCUCUACUGAGGCUGCUUCAUCCAAACCAGCUGAUGAAGGGACUACGUUUAAAAAGAUAUCUUCAAUCCCAGAAUCCUCAUCACAACCAAUGGAUGAGCCACCUUCUUCACAGGGCGUCGACCACCCAAACAUCGAAGCAGAAGGUAAUUCAGUUUUUUGAUUCUUUACCUUUGCUUGUGCUAUUGGUUUUCGAUUUGUUGCUUUUGAGUUCUGCAGAUGCUCCUAUGAGUCUGCCCAUUGUGGCAACAUCUUCUCGCUUAGAUAAGGGGAAGGCCUCACGAAUGGUGGAGCCACAGGUGGCAGACUUGGCUGGGGAUAUGCCAUCUUUCAAGAUUAUUGAUGAGGUAAUUUUUGCUUCACUUUUACUUCUAUCUUGUUUGUUGUAGUGAGAAUCUUCAAUAUUGGCAAUUUUCUUUGCAGGAUGCUGAUAAGAUUGUGUGUUCCAUCCAAAACUUGUUCGCUUCCUAGGGGCAAGUCAAGACAUCUCGCCCUGCUCCAGCUGGUUGUCCUGCUACUUCUUCAGAGGAAGAUAUGAAGUUUCUCAAGCAGUCGAUAUUUGAGUACGUGUCCUUCAUGGAUAUGGACAUUGGUAAGGCUAGUGCUGCCAGAUAUAAGGAUAAGCUUGAGCAUUUGAAUGCGAAGUUGGAACAAGCACUGACUCUUCCGUCGCUCAAUCUUUCUGCUGAUUUUAAAGUGACGUUGAAAGUUAUCCAUUCCGAGGUCCUCUCCUUGCUGGCCAAGAAUGUUGAACUGAAGGUCAAAAGUACUCAAUAUCUUCGCGCCGUAUCUGAAAAAGAGUCUUUGCUUCUGGAGAUCAACAAAGCUGAUGACGAGUUGAAAGAAAUCUCUUCCGAAGUCAUGAUUGAAGACUCUUUGAUGGCUAGUUUGGCUGCUCAGAUGAAGGAAUUUCAAGCCAAAAUGGACGACUGCAAGGCGAGAAUGGCUGCUAAAAAGCAUAAUGCCUCCCAAGGAAUUGAGCAAACUAAGUCUUUGGUCGAACAGUACAAGAAAUUGGAAGUUGAUGAUGAUGUUGUGGCCGAAUUGAACAUCCACUACAACAGAUUUUGCUUUUUACGGCAUGCAUUGCAUGCCUUAAAAAUUACUUUACGGCAUACAGUCGCAUGCCGUAUAAAGUCAUGUCGUAAAUAUGCAUAUCUUUUUACGGCAUGCAUUGCAUGCCGCAAAAAAUAAGAAGCACGCCGUUAAUAAACUAUUUACGACAUUCUUUGCAUGCCAUAAAUGCUUAACCUUUUACGGCAUGACUCUGCAUGCCGUAAAAAAGAAACUAUUUUUUAAGGCAAACAUUUUUGUAUGUCGUAAAUGGUCGUCUCAUUUUGUUUACGACAUGCACUAGCAUGCCGUAAAAAUAACGAAAUGACUUUCACAUUUUAUAUGCUAUAAAGAUUCAUUUCUUUGUAAAUAUCUAUUUUUUGAUAACCAUUAAACCCAUAAUAAUUAAAGAACAUAAUUCCCAAUAUAAACACAUAUAUAAUAACUUCUCCCAUAAUUUUAGAAAAUAAAACCAAUACAAAUGUCGAGUUAAUUUAGAAAUGAACUAAGAACAUCAGUAGCCUACUCAAAAUAGUUGAUAUCAACAUCCAAAAGUAUGAACUACUACUCCAAAAACAAGUAAUCAAAAUAGUACAAAAUAAUUGAUUCACAUCGAUUUUGAUUAAUUUGAUCAACAAUUUUGUUAUCCCAAAAAUAAUCAACUCCCUGCACAUCACAAAAAUAAAUGAGGGUAUAGUUAAUAUAUUAAAGUAAAUACGCAAAUGAAAAAUGAUAUAAAAGAACAAGUAAAGCAUACAUUUAUUGUGCUUAUAGCUAAUCCAUUUUGAUGAACCUGAUUGGUCAUGCAAUUGUACUUCCUAAUACAUCUUCAAGAAGAAAUAGCUCCCGUGUGGGACGAUACAAGGUAACAUUGUCAAUCACUUCAUUAACCCAAACUCUCCAACAUUUAUCGCCAAGAGGUACAUGAUGCACUAAAUCACAAGGAUUUUUUUAUGCGAUUUCACCAUUUGCAACUACAUCAGCUUUCCCGAACCAACAUAACAAUUUGCAUUUUUUACUCUGAAGGCUAUCUAAACCAUUCGAGCUUCUAUCACUAUGCUGUAAAAUUCAUAUGAAAGUGCAAUUUGUUAAUUUGAAUAUAGAAAAGAAUAUGAAAUAUAGAAUAUCAUUUAGUAACGAUAGUUUCGCACUUACAUUUUCUUGUUCAACACUUUUACUCUUCUGUUGAAACAAAGCUUUUAAUUCUUUAAUUUCGUCUCUUAACUCUUGUACUUGAGUUUGCAAGUUCUGACUAUGUACCAAAGCAUUCAACUUUGAAGGAGUUGCACCGAAGCCAAGCCCUCUUACCCAUCCUCGACGUUCUGGACCAAGUGUUCUUGCAACACCAUCAUCCUUGGGAAAAUGUUUAC